rnacentral:rRNA from 1 species
AGUGCCCUACGGGACGCAGCAGUGGGGAAUAUUGCACAAUGGGGGGAACCCUGAUGCAGCUAUGCCGCGUGAAGGAUGAAGGUUUUCGGAUUGUAAACUUCUUUUGUACGGGACGAAGGAAGUGACGGUACCGUAAGAAUAAGCCACGGCUAACUACGUGCCAGCAGCCGCGGUAAUACGUAGGUGGCAAGCGUUAUCCGGAUUUACUGGGUGUAAAGGGCGAGUAGGCGGGAUUGCAAGUCAGAUGUGAAAACUAUGGGCUCAACCGAUAGAGUGCAUUUGAAACUGCAGUUCUUGAGGGAUGG